rnacentral:rRNA from 1 species
UACGUAGGUGGCAAGCGUUGUCCGGAUUUACUGGGCGUAAAGAGCGCGCAGGCGGUCGUACAAGUCGCGUGUGAAAGCCCCCGGCUCAACUGGGGAGGGUCACGCGAUACUGUUCGACUCGAAGGCAGGAGAGGGAAGUGGAAUUCCCGGUGUAGUGGUGAAAUGCGUAGAUAUCGGGAGGAACACCAGUGGCGAAGGCGACUACCUGGCCUGUUCUUGACGCUGAGGCGCGAAAGCUAGGGGAGCAAACGGG